AGCAACUAAUUCAGACCCAUCUGAUGACCACUAGAAAGGAACAGUGCCAGCUCUUCAGGAUCUGACUCCUCCUUCCCCUUCCGGGUUCACUGGGCUGGCUUGCCUGAACUUGACCACAGAGGUACUUCGCACUUAAGAGCCACCAGGCAAUUCUCGUCAGCGUGGGUGCUGUUUCGCGAGCGUUCAGACCUUCCACUGGAAGGCUGGGGAGACAGCUGAGAGGUGUGCCCUCCAUGAGGACCUAGACUGGGACCUGCAGAACUGGGGCUCCAGGAAGAAGCUGGCUUCCAGAGAGCAAAGAUCAUGGAUUCAAUCCAAGGACUAAUCGAUAUCAGGGCCACCUGUGUGACCAGUACCCUAUUUGCUCUUCCAAAGUCCUGGAGGACCUGCCAUCUCUCCUGGGAACCAAACAACUCUGUUCAAAGAACCUCCAGCUACCCACUUUGCUGUUCAAGUCAAGUCCAAGGACUGCUACCAAAGGGGUGUCUCUGGCAAAAUCUGAUUUUAAAAAAAAGAAGAAGAAAGAGGAAAAGGAAAUCCAAAUAAGUUCCCAAGGUCUCUCUGUGCCUUGAGCUCUGCCGCCUGGUGAGAACCAUUGUGCAUCUUAAUUAAAGUAAACAGAUGCACAUAA